UUUCUCUCUCUUCCCCCUCUCUAUCGUACGCUCUAGCUCUUUCUCACCUUCCUCUCACACUUUCAUCUCUCUUUCUCUCUGCAUUCCCCAUCUCAUCCUUCACCAUAACAUCCACACAACAACCUCCACCACCAUCUACAAAUCAACCACUCGUGAGAGUGAGGGAGUGGCCGAGUGAGAGAAUAUUUGCCGGCGGGAGAGAAGUUCCGGCGAGGAGGAGGAGUUCCGGCCGAGAGAGUUCUUGUGGCGAUUGGAGGUGGUGGUGAUGUGUGGUGGUUAUGGUGGAUGGCUCCAUGGAAGGAUAAGGCUCCUCCAUGAAAUUUGAUCUUUGGAUGUCAAUAAACUCAGGAAGCAUUCCAAUGAUAAAAUUGAAUUUUUAUCAAUUGGUAUUUAUAUAGUUUAUCACAAAAUUGCUUACUAGAUUGUGAGGUUUUGUUGUUAAUCCCAUUGUAAGUGUCGUUGUUGGAUUGUCUGCUCUUAAUGCUAUUGGAGACAAGAAAAUGAAACUCAAACUUGGUGGUGUGGCAUUAGGAGACAGUUUGACUCUAUACUAAAGUGUUCAAAGUCACAGACACUAAAAUACCGGCAAAUCAGUUUGAGUUCAUGUCUUUCCAUGACAUUCUCUCAUGUACUAAAGAGGAUCAGUUUCUUGGUAUGCUUUUUUUGUCAUUGUUAUUGCUGUUUUGAGAUAAUUUGGCGCUGGUGAAGACCAUUUUCUGUUUGAAAUACAAUCUGGUCAAGCCAUCAAGGUAUGUAUCAUGCGUUGUUGGAUGCCCAGUGUCUCCAUCAAAAGUAGCUUAUGUGGCUAAAGAACUAUAUGAUAUGGGUUGCUUUGAAAUCUCACUUGGUGACACAAUUGGGGUAGGCACACCAGGCACAGUAGUUCCAAUGCUUUUGGCUGUAAUGGCGGUUGUACCAACGGAAAAGCUUGCUGUUCACUUCCAUGACACAUAUGGGCAAUCCCUUUCAAACAUUCUUGUAUCCCUCCAAAUGGGAAUAAGCGCAGUUGAUUCUUCAGUUGCUCUGGUCUUGGUGGCUGUCCAUAUGCUAAGGGGGCUUCGGGAAAUGUAGCUACCGAAGAUGUUGUGUACAUGCUUAAUGCUCCCCUCUAGUUCCUUGGGUUAUCACUGGUAUAUCCAAACAUGCGAGCGGCAUUCAUGGAUAUCAUUUGAGUUUGCACUCUGAUUGGUCCAUGCUUCAAAUCUUUGCAUAAGCACUAUCCAGGCAUCAAGUGGCAUGAUUGUAGAUGCAAAUGCAACGCAAGAUGAACUGAUAUCUACUCCUACUACUGCCUAAAUGGUGAAAGCAAUAUUUUUGUUCAUCCUGUCAUGAUGCAGCAACUGUUGCUAAAGUAAAUCACUUCAUAUUAGUUACUUCAUUGGGAACAAACAAAUUUGGUUUUCCUGCAGCUAUUCUCAAUUUAUUUUGGGGAGUCUUGUGUUGGAAAAGAAAGGCAGAAGAAGCAUUGCUAGCAAGUGGACUUCCAUACACAAUAGUGAGACCUGGAGGCAUGGAGUGGCCUACCGAUGCUUACAAGGAAACUCAUAAUGUAACCCUAUCAACUGAAGAUACUUUAUUUGGGGGUCAGGUUUCAAACCUUCAGGUUGCUGAACUCAUGGCAGUCAUGGCCAAGAAUCGCGAUCUUUCGUACUGUAAAAUAGUGGAGGUCGUUGCCGAGACAACUGCGCCACUGACACCUGCUGAAAAACUUCUUGCAAAAAUACCUUCUCAACGACCUUAUAUUUAUCCGCCUAAGGUUUCAAGGCCACGAUGACAUUUUAUACUUUAUCUUCAUGUUCUCUACAGCAGAUCAUCCCAACAAGAUGGAUUAGCUUGAAAGUUUUAAUCAUCUGUGUUAUAAGAGAGUAUUAUAGUAUGGGGAAAUAUUGGUGGUGUUUGAUAUAGGUUACCUGGUUAUGCCUUUUUUCCUUUUGAAAUGCUAGAGGUAAAAAGAUUCUAACUUCUGCAUUAAUUUUCUCUGAUUAUGUCUCUUUGUGAUAUUUCAAUUAAUUGAAUUUCUUUAGUUUUGUUUGGUCGGUGGAAUGAGAUUUUUAUUGAGCAUGGCUUAAGUGGUGGGGAUUGAAACAUAGAUGAAACACUUCUAUAUACACCAUGCAUGUUCUCAUUUAAACUAAUGAGGUGAAAAGUACAAGCAAUACUAAUGAGGGAACUUUAGAUUGUAGGAUAUGAUAGAAGAUUAUCAAUUUGGUUUUGGGCCUUCGAUCUAUAUGUCCUAAAGAGGGAGGGACCUGGAGUUUGAAGUUAUCAACCAAAUUAAUGGAAAAAAGGAGCUAUGAUUAUUUUUGAAUUAUUGUUUAGAGGAAGAGAGAAAUAGAUUGAGUCUAUGUAUUGAUGUUUUUCUUUAAAGUAUAUCCUAAUGUACUCUUGCAUC